UACGCACGCUGGCGGCGUGCCUAAUACAUGCAAGUUGAGCGCUGAAGGUUGGUACUUGUACCGACUGGAUGAGCAGCGAACGGGUGAGUAACGCGUGGGGAAUCUGCCUUUGAGCGGGGGACAACAUUUGGAAACGAAUGCUAAUACCGCAUAAAAACUUUAAACACAAGUUUUAAGUUUGAAAGAUGCAAUUGCAUCACUCAAAGAUGAUCCCGCGUUGUAUUAGCUAGUUGGUGAGGUAAAGGCUCACCAAGGCGAUGAUACAUAGCCGACCUGAGAGGGUGAUCUGCCACAUUGGGACUGAGACACGGCCCAACCUCCUACGGGAGGCAGCAGUAGGGAAUCUUCGGCAAUGGACGAAAGUCUGACCGAGCAACGCCGCGGGAGUGAAGAAGGUUGUCGGAUCGUAAAACUCUGUUGGUAGAGAAGAACGUUGGUGAGAGUGGAAAGCUCAUCAAGUGACGGUAACUACCCAGAAAGGGACGGCUAACUACGUG
rnacentral:rRNA from 1 species